rnacentral:rRNA from 1 species
UUAUGGCUCAGGAUGAACGCUAGCUACAGGCUUAACACAUGCAAGUCGAGGGGCAGCAUGUGGUUGCUUGCACCAAUGACGGCGACCGGCGCACGGGUGAGUAACGCGUAUCCAACCUUCCCCUUAGUAGAGGAUAGCCCGGCGAAAGUCGGAUUAAUACUCUAUGUUGUAUUUUGAUGACAUCUGACGAAUACCAAAGAUUUAUCGCUAAGGGAUGGGGAUGCGUCUGAUUAGGUUGCAGGCGGGGUAACGGCCCACCUGGCCUACGAUCAGUAGGGGUUCUGAGAGGAAGGUCCCCCACACUGGUACUGAGACACGGACCAGACUCCUACGGGAGGCAGCAGUGAGGAAUAUUGGUCAAUGGGCGCGAGCCUGAACCAGCCAAGUAGCGUGCAAGGACGACUGCCCUAUGGGUUGUAAACUGCUUUUAUCAGGGAAUAAAGUGAGGCACGCGUGCCUUUUUGUAUGUACCUGAUGAAUAAGGACCGGCUAAUUCCGUGCCAGCCGCAGC